CUCCAUUCGGUAGCAAUACUGAUGAAGAGCGAGUGGCGAACGGGUGAGUAGCACGUGAGCAACCUGCCCCGAAGACCGGGACAACACCGGGAAACCGGUGCUAAUACCGGAUAUCCCUAUCGGACCGCAUGAUCUGAUAAGGAAAUGGAUUCCGCUUCGGGAGGGGCUCGCGGCCUAUCAGCUAGUUGGUGAGGUAAUGGCUCACCAAGGCAUCGACGGGUAGCUGGUCUGAGAGGACGAUCAGCCACACUGGGACUGAGACACGGCCCAGACUCCUACGGGAGGCAGCAGUGGGGAAUCUUGCGCAAUGGGCGAAAGCCUGACGCAGCAACGCCGCGUGGAGGACGAAGGCUUUCUGAG
rnacentral:rRNA from 1 species